GCGCCGGUGGUGUAAGGCGAACAUCGCUGCCCGGAAAGCAGAAGAUGCGGGUUCGAGUCCCGCCUAGCGCA
rfam:Heligmosomoides polygyrus genome assembly, scaffold: HPBE_contig0001865